rnacentral:rRNA from 1 species
AGUGAACGCUGGCGGCGUGCCUAAUACAUGCAAGUCGAACGGAGUGGCGCACGGGUGUGUAAUGUAUAGCUAAUCUGCCCUACCAUAGAGGACAACAGUUGGCAACGACUGCUAAUACUUUAUAGUGUAGGAUGAGGCUAUAUUGUAUCAGCUAGUUGGUGAGGUAAUGGCUCACCAAGGAUAUGACGCAUAACUGGUCUGAGAGGAUGAUCAGUCACGCUGGAACGGAGACACGGGCCAGACUCCUACGGGAGGCAGCAGUAGGGAAUAGUGCUCAAUGGGGGAAACCCUGAAGCAGCAGCGCCGCGUGGAGGAUGACAAUUGUGGGGGAGUAAACUCAUUUUGUUAGGGAAGCGGUACCUAACGAAUAAGCACCGGCUAACGCCGUGCCAGCAGCCGCGGUAAUAC